rnacentral:rRNA from 1 species
UACGUAGGGUGCAAGCGUUGUCCGGAAUUAUUGGGCGUAAAGAGCUCGUAGGCGGUCUGUCGCGUCGGCUGUGAAAUCCCGAGGCUCAACCUCGGGUCUGCAGUCGAUACGGGCAAACUAGAGUAUUGCAGGGGAGACUGGAAUUCCUGGUGUAGCGGUGAAAUGCGCAGAUAUCAGGAGGAACACCGGUGGCGAAGGCGGGUCUCUGGGCAAUAACUGACGCUGAGGAGCGAAGGCGUGGGGAGCGAACAGG